rnacentral:lncRNA from 1 species
UCUGAGAGAGUCUUUGGUUAUCGAUUUGGGUUGGUCUUCUCUUCAAAUUAUAGUCAACGGUUGAAAACGCGUCAAGGGCUUUUCUCAUUGAUUCGAGAUCCUAUGAAGGAGAGUUGUUACUAGGGUUCGUUUUUAAUCUACGAGGAAUGAUGAAACCUACCUUCUUAUGGCUGCUUCUUGUUUUCGAUUUGGUUCUCAGAGUAGCUGGCAACGCCGAAGGUCUACUUCUCUUCGAUUAUUUAUUGUAUAAGCAAAGUUUUCUAUUUGACUUGAGUUAUGUUAUGUAAUUAAUUGAUUGCAAAGGUUUGAAAAGUGUUUUUUUGAUUCUUUCUUUUGGUUAAAACCGCAGGUGAUGCUUUGAGUGCACUGAAGAACAGUUUAGCAGACCCUAACAAGGUGCUCCAGAGUUGGGAUGCUACUCUUGUUACUCCCUGUACAUGGUUUCAUGUUACUUGCAAUAGUGACAAUAGUGUCACACGUGUGUAAGUUUCUUUUUUUUUUGUUUUCUGUCUCUCUGGCGCAAAGAAUGUUGCCUACUAAGAUCUUCAUCUUUGUUUAGUGACCUUGGGAAUGCGAAUCUAUCUGGUCAGCUAGUAAUGCAGCUUGGUCAGCUCCCAAACUUGCAGUACCUGUAAGUUCAUCUCUUCCUAAACAUGAUAUAUCUAGGUGAAGUAGCUUUGAUAACUUUUGUAAUAUGGAAGAAAAUGUAAUGAUACAGGGAGCUUUAUAGCAAUAACAUAACUGGGACAAUCCCAGAGACGCUUGGGAAUUUAACGGAGUUGGUGAGCUUGGAUCUUUACUUGAACAAUCUAAGCGGUCCCAUCCCAAAAUCUCUUGGCCGACUACAGAAACUCCGUUUCUUGUAUGCAACCCCCACUCUUCUCUUACUACCCCUUUUUUUUUAUAAUCAGCCUAACUAUUGUCUUCAGUUUCCUUGAAAAGCUAUUCCUACUUGUGUUUAGGCGUCUUAAUAACAAUAGCUUAUCUGGAGAAAUCCCAAGGUCUUUGACUGCUGUCUUGUCGCUUCAAGUUCUGUAAGUGUACCUUUUGUCUCUCUCUCCCUAGUACCUUUGUGUUCAUUGUUUCUGAUUAUUGUUUGAUAUUAACUUUAUCUUGAAAUGCAGGGAUCUCUCAAACAAUCCUCUCACUGGAGAUAUUCCUGUUAAUGGUUCCUUUUCACUUUUCACACCUAUCAGGUUUUGCUUCUUUCUCCUAAUUUAAACCUUUUGUGGACAUGUCAGAACGGGUUGAUUAAUUAUUUGGAAUUUAUUUUCAGUUUUGCCAAUACCAAUUUGACACCUCUUCCUGCAUCUCCGCCGCCUCCCAUCUCUCCUACACCGCCAUCACCUGGAGGUUCUUCGUUUUGUCUAUGUCUACUUGAAAAACAUUCAAAGACUAAGAUGUUCAUAUCAUACUUGCAGGGAGUAAUAGAAUCACUGGAGCUAUUGCUGGAGGAGUUGCUGCAGGUGCUGCACUUCUUUUCGCUGUUCCAGCCAUUGCACUUGCUUUGUGGCGUAGGAAAACACCACAAGAUCACUUCUUUGAUGUACCAGGUUAGAGAAACAUCCAUGGCUUGUUUUUCUCAUUGACACUACUUUGGCUGAGUUUUUGUUUUUGUUACAGCUGAAGAGGACCCAGAGGUGCAUUUAGGACAACUCAAGAGGUUUUCUUUACGUGAACUACAAGUUGCUUCUGAUAAUUUCAGCAACAGGAACAUAUUAGGUAGAGGAGGUUUUGGUAAAGUGUAUAAAGGAAGGUUAGCUGAUAGCACUUUGGUGGCGAUUAAAAGACUGAAAGAGGAACGUACUCAAGGUGGUGAACUACAGUUCCAGACCGAGGUUGAGAUGAUUAGUAUGGCUGUUCAUAGGAACUUGCUUCGGCUUCGUGGUUUUUGCAUGACUCCAACAGAAAGAUUGCUUGUUUAUCCUUACAUGGCUAAUGGAAGUGUUGCAUCCUGUUUAAGAGGUAACUCUCUCAUCUUGUAGCUUAUUCCUUGUCCUCCUAAUUGCUGCAAGGAAAUACCUAAAAGUUCGUUUAGGACCGGUUCUGAGUUUUUGGGGGUUACAUGCAAUUUAGUAAGAAUUUUAAAUUUUAACAAUUUUGGUACCUGUUCUGAGAUUUUGAGGUUUAUAUGCAAUUUAGUAAGAAUUUUUGUUAAAAAAUUUAAACAAGUUUGGUACCUGUUCUGAUAUUUUGAGGGUUAUAUACAAUUUAGUAAGAAUUUUAAUUUAAAAUUCUAAACAAUUUUGGAAUGUUUAUGAGAUUUUGAGGGUUUUAUGCAAUUUAGUAAGAAUUAUUUUUAAAAAAUAAACAGUUUUGGUAUCGGUUCUGAGAAUUUGGGGGGUUGCAUGCAAUUUAGCAAGAGUUUUAAUUAAAAAAAUCAACAAUUUUGGGAGCUUAUGUUUAUAUAAAUAUUUAUUAAAAUUUGGGGGGUCAUAGGUCAAUGUUUCACUUGUAUACGUUUUGAUCUGCUAGUAACGUUUUAUUCUUAUCUUGUCCUUAGACCGUCCAGAGUCUCAGCCAGCACUUGAUUGGCCAAAGAGACAGGGUAUUGCGUUAGGAUCAGCAAGGGGGCUUGCAUAUUUACAUGAUCAUUGCGACCCAAAGAUCAUACAUAGAGAUGUGAAAGCUGCAAAUAUAUUAUUGGACGAAGACUUUGAAGCUGUGGUCGGAGAUUUUGGACUUGCAAAACUCAUGGACUACAAAGACACACAUGUAACAACCGCAGUGCGUGGUACGAUUGGUCAUAUAGCACCUGAGUACCUUUCUACUGGUAAAUCAUCAGAGAAAACAGAUGUGUUUGGUUAUGGAGUCAUGCUUCUUGAGCUCAUUACUGGACAAAGAGCUUUCGAUCUUGCUCGUCUCGCCAAUGACGAUGAUGUCAUGUUACUAGACUGGGUAUAUAUUCAUGUGUUUCAGUUUCACACUUGUAUAGUUUCUUCUAUUUGUGUUAGUUAUAAGUGUUUGUUUUGUACCAUUCAACAGGUGAAAGGGUUGUUGAAAGAGAAGAAGUUGGAAGCGCUAGUAGAUGUUGAUCUUCAGGGUAAUUACAUAGACGAAGAAGUGGAGAAGCUAAUCCAAGUGGCUCUGCUCUGCACUCAGAGCUCACCAAUGGAAAGACCCAAAAUGUCUGAAGUUGUGAGAAUGCUUGAAGGAGAUGGUUUAGCUGAGAGAUGGGAAGAGUGGCAAAAGGAGGAAAUGUUCAGACAAGAUUUUAAUUACCAAAACUAUAAUCAACCAAACACUGCUUGGCUCAUUGGCGAUUCCACUUCCCACAUAGAAAACGAUUAUCCUUCGGGUCCAAGAUAAGAUUCGUAACACGAAUUAUUUCUGUUUUUAUUUUUCUUCUUAUGUAUUUAUUAAGGGUUUAGUUUAUGCUGAUCCAUAUUAUUGAGUUCUUUAAGCGAGUACAUGUAUGAAGAUUCAAUUCCAAGUUAUAUAAUCUUUUAAAGCUAGACACUUUAGUCAUCUACAAACAAAAAUCUCACAAAACUAUACUUUGUUACUAUGUUACCCAAACCAAACCAUGUAAAACUUUUUUUUUAAAUUAUGAUUGAAUUAUCUUUCUUCAUAUCAUUAGACACGACACACACAGCGAGACAAGAAAAAAAACAUAUUUAUUUUUCGUCCAUUCGUAGCUUAAGCUUUGCACACCAUAUUUUUAUUGUUUCAGUAUUUUAAAAUGAAAAUAUAUACACUAAAAAACGUAAGCAGUGCAAUAUUACGUUUGUUUUAUAUGCGUCUAUUUUUUUAUUAUAUCAUUUUUCCUCGUCAGAUAUUUGUACUUGCAAACUAUAAAUCUAAGUUUUUUAUUUGUUUCUUUUUUGAUAUUUCUAGAUAAUAUCCAAAUAGCUGGACUAGUUUUAUCUAGAGCCCACAAAACAAAAAGAGCCUCUACAAACUGAGCUGGGCCAAUUUGGACUCACCCUUAAAAGUUUAAACACGUCUUUAGAAGAACAUUAUGAUAUUAAUGAUAAAUAAAGUAAUAACGAAUGGUAUCCCACCAUUCAUCAUCAUGCUUUUUAUCAUCAUACGAACAUAACCAACAUCAUCCCCAGUUGAAGUCGUGCGCGUUUGACUUUGACCAGCUAAAGAGAGCUUGAAAUGCUCCACGUCAUCAAAACUUUUGUCGUUUUCCUCGUUUUGCAUUAAAUGCUAUUUUUAAUUUCACUGUACCAACUCAGACAAGUAUAAAACUCUUUGGCUUUGUCUUCUUUCACAUUUACUUUUUUUUCUUGUAAUAAUCUUUCUUUUUUUAAUUAUUCGUUCUUCUUCCGAUAACUUGUUUCUAUCAUCUUCCUUCCUUCGUUUUCUCUCAAUCUUAAAUCCUCCGGUUUAGUAGUCAACGGUCAGCGAUCUCGGCGUUUUCAAAUCGGAAACACAUAGCUCUGAGAGAGUCUUUGGUUAUCGAUUUGGGUUGGUCUUCUCUUCAAAUUAUAGUCAACGGUUGAAAACGCGUCAAGGGCUUUUCUCAUUGAUUCGAGAUCCUAUGAAGGAGAGUUGUUACUAGGGUUCGUUUUUAAUCUACGAGGAAUGAUGAAACCUACCUUCUUAUGGCUGCUUCUUGUUUUCGAUUUGGUUCUCAGAGUAGCUGGCAACGCCG